AGUAGGGACUGUCUUUUUGGUUUUUAUUUGAAUAUCCACCUUGCUUAGCACAGUGCCUGGCACAUAGUAAGUUCAAAAUAAAUGUGUGUUUUCUUCCUUCAUCGUCACAUAGUAAGUGAUGAAUAAAUAUUCACUGAUUAAUUGUGUGAAGAGAGUCCGGGGAAAUUAAGAACCUGGCUUAAGAAGGAUGAAAAAGGAAUAACUGCGUACAUAAAGGACAACACAUGAAUUCCAGCUGAACGAGUGCGGCGGGUAUAGGGGUUGGGAGAUUCCAGGAAGAAAUGAGAAGAGAGGUAAUAGGGUUAGGAGAUGGAGAGUGUCGGAGAUGCUGAGAGAAUGAAGUCAGAAUGGAUGCCAGGGAGGAGCACAGCAUCUAGGACUGGCUCGGAGACCUGGAUACCUGGGAUAAAGGAUGACUUUGUGAUAGUUCAUACACUUCUCCAGCAGAUGCAGGACAAAUUUCAGACCAUGUCAGACCAGAUAAUUGGCCGAAAUAUCCUUUCUCCACAGUGUCCCUCUCUCCCUCUCCUCUCCCAUCUUUUAUGCUUUCCCUACCCCUCUAUUCCCCUCCCCACCCCCCCACCCCCCCAUAUCUGGUGAUAGUAUGGUGGGUUUUAGAGAUGGAUCAUUCAUCUGUUCAGUUCAACUUGGAUUGAUUCUGAAAGCUCUGACCUGAGCUCUGCUUAGCAGGGGAUUGGUCUUGUUAAAGGCCACUUAUAUGUAUAUGAGUGGAUUGGAAAGAGCAGGAAAUGGUGGAAAAAAUUCGGAGGUGACCAGGCCAUUGGCCUUAACCCUUUUGCACAGGUUAAGUAUAGCCAAGUAUAUCCCUCCUUAGUUCAACCCCAGAUCUGGACCCAGGAACAUCUGUUAGUGGAAAUAGAGAUAGGCUUUAUGUUUGUGGCUUCUGUUAAAAUCAGCCUCUAUUAACUGUAGAUAUAACUGCAUACAUAUAUUUAUGUGGUUUGCCAAGACCAGCCUCCAUGUACUAAUCAGUUAGCUAUAUGUCUAUAUGUGUAUAGCUGCAUAAAAAUGUAUUCACUUGUAUGUGUGCAUAUGAUGAAGUCUUGGCGUUUAGUGGAUAUAGGACUGGUCUUAGAAGCAAGAAGACUUAUGAGACUUCCUUCUGAUAUUGACUCUGACUAUAGGUAAAUCAUUUAACCUUUCAGUGCCUUAGGCAACUCUUAAGACUCUUGAUCUUCAUUAUUGGAGAUCCCUUUCACACCAAAGAAAUUACAGGCUGGAAACCAAAAAAUAUGGGAAAAGAGACAGAAAAGAAGGCUCAGUUUGAGAUAGAAAAAUAGGUGUGUCUCAUGAAUCUUAUUUGUAGACCUCUACCCCUGUUUUUUUUGCUCAUUGUGGGAGAGUCAGGCUGAACCAUUGUGCUCAUAAUAGCUUAAAUUUGGAAGCUCAGGAUCCUGCUAGUUUGACUUGUUAGAGGCCAUAUAUUUAAUAAAGGAGUAGAGCAGAAGGUAUAAAUAAAUGAU
rnacentral:lncRNA from 1 species